CGUUUCGGGAAUUGGCAUUCAUGUUGCGACAACAGCAUCCUUGAGCUGCAAAAUGAAUAUGGCACUUGGGACGAGGCCUACAAACGGUGCUGCUCCCUUGGAAUGGACCUUCUUUCAGUCCACAAUCCAAACAAGCAAUACUGCUUGGGCAAUCCUUACAAAAAUAGUAACCCGAAUGAGAAAGGGUAUCUGCCUUUUCGGACAGAGGCCUGGACAGCGGGGCGGGAUAUCGGAUCUUGCCGCGGAAAAUUGCGAUGGUGCACCGGCUACCUGAACGACUACCUGAAAAGUGACCUGACUUGGAAAAAGGGCCAUGAUCCUAGAUUGGCAAACAACUCGUGCGUCUACAUUGAUUUUGGGGAUCCAGUUUUGCCUAGUCUGGCGCUGGCAGACUGCUC